rnacentral:misc_RNA from 1 species
AACUUUCAACAAUGGAUCACUUGGCUCUCGCAUCGAUGAAGAACGCAGCGAAAUGCGAUACGUAAUGUGAAUUGCAGAAUUCAGUGAAUCAUCGAAUCUAUGAACGCAUCUUGCGCUCCUUGGUAUUCCGACGAGCAUGCCUGUUUGAGUGUCAUCAAGUUCUCAACCAUAUUGAUAUUUUUUGAUGUGGCUUUGGAUGUGGAGGUUUUUGCAGGCUUUGAAAUUUUAAGUCGGCUCCUCUGAAAUGAAUUAGUGGUAUCUGAGCAGUAGAAUUACUAUAGGUGUGAUAAAUUUGUCUAUGCCUUGGUAUGCUGCAUGAACAGAUUGCACUGCUUCUAACAAGUGGAAACACAUUUCGAUGAAUUUGACCUCAAAUCAGGUAGGACUACCCGCUGAACUUAAGCAUAUCAAUAAGCGGAGGCU